UCACUAAAAAAUCUAUAUCAGAUUUUAAUAAUUAGUGA
rnacentral:snRNA from 1 species